rnacentral:rRNA from 2 species
CUCAACCAACGGCAGGCAGUGGAGUACUAAAGAACUAGAGUGCGGUAGAGGUAGAGGGAAUCCCUAGCGUAACAGUGAAAUGUGUAGAUUUUAGGGGGAACACCAGCGGCGAAGGCGCUCUACUGGGCCGAUACUGACACUGAGAGACGAAAGCUAGAGGAGCGAAUAGGAUUAGAUACCCUAGUAGUUCUAGCUGUAAACGAUGGAAACUAAGAGGGGGUAACCCCCUUCUGUAGCUAACGCGUUAAGUUUCCCGCCUGGGGAGUAUGCUCGCAAGAGUGAAACUCAAAGGAAUUGACGGGAGAUCACACAAUAGGUGGAUUAUGCGGUUUAAUUUGAUGCUACGCAAAGAACCUUACCAGGGUUUGACAUGUCUAGAAUCUUUCAGAAAUGAAAGAGUGCUUCCUUUCUAUGAAAGGAAGAGCUA